rnacentral:rRNA from 1 species
GACGGAGGAUGCAAGCGUUAUCCGGAAUGAUUGGGCGUAAAGCGUCCGCAGGUGGCAGUUCAAGUCUGCUGUCAAAGACCGGGGCUUAACUUCGGAAAGGCAGUGGAAACUGAACAGCUAGAGUAUGGUAGGGGCAGAGGGAAUUCCUGGUGUAGCGGUGAAAUGCGUAGAGAUCAGGAAGAACAUCGGUGGCGAAGGCGCUCUGCUGGACCAUAACUGACACUCCGGGACGAAAGCUAGGGGAGCGAAUGGG